GAAUGUGGAAUAACCAUAAUUUCCUUUUUAUUCAUAGAUAUUAAUCCGAAUAUAAAGCUUUUUGAAAACAAAGAGAAACCCAAAGAAAAACUACUUUAUAUGAACAUAAUAAAAGCACUGUGUUCAAAUAAAGUGCAAGAGAAACAUCAUAUAAAAAUAAAGUUCCAAUGCUGUAAACAUCCUAUUAUCAGCAUAAACACUAGUGCUUAUCCUUCUUAGGUAUGUCUUUUGGAAGAACCUUUGAUUGUAGUUCUUCUGUAACCCUGAAAAGAUAGCAAAAAUCAUAUCAUAUUACAACGAAUGGAUAAUCUAAUUAUCUAAUAAGCAUUACAUAGAUGAAUAAAUCACCAAUUUAGUCUCUAAAUAUCACUACAAUUUAGUCCCUAAAAUAAAAAUAAAAAGUGGUCCCUAAAGUAUGUGAACUUUAGUUCCUGCUAUGAUAUUAGGGACUAACCUAACGGAUUUUCAUAUACUUUAGGAACUAAAAUGAUAGAUUUUAUAGGGAUCAUAAUGAUUUGUUUCAUAUACUUCAGGGACCACUUAUCAUUUUU
rnacentral:lncRNA from 1 species